GAUCCAAUUAUCAGUCCUAGGAGGCUGAUAACACAUUUAUUCAAUAGAUAGUUCAGAAACCGUACAGCUCCCGAAGGAGCGGGCGGGCAAGCCACACUCAAAGUAAAACUAAAGCGAUAACAAUACAAAUCCAAGUUGCAGUCCAGUCGGACUCCAGGCUGCAAUCAGAACUAUGCGUCAGCGGAAGCAUCCUGCAAAGGGCCAACAUCGCAGGCAGCGUUGGGUGUAGACGCAACCUCCUACUCAAGAUCCUCGGCGACGUAGUCCGGAUCCUCCUCUGAAGCAACAAAACAGGGGUGAGUACAGAAGUACUCAACAAGUCCAACUCCAUCCACGGAGGGGGAUACAACAAGAAUAUGCAUAGGAUAUAACAAUGAUAAGGUUACAGUUCAUUUGCAAUAAAGCUAGAUUUUUUACACAUGCAGGGGUUUACUUUUAAAGAGUUUUCGCAAAGUAUUUUAUUCAGUAACCAAAAUAUUGAAUGGGGUUGAUCCUACACAAAGGAUCCAAGUUUUAUCGCUACCGGACUCCCCGUCCGCCGUAGCGCACGGCACAACUGCCGGACACUUCCAAAAUCCAUCCCACGCCAUAAAAACCAACCAUCUCCAAAUGCUAGUUAUGUGACCAAGUCAUAACUCGUCCAAUACCUUGGACACGGCUACCCGAAUAGGUUUUAACUCUGCAAAGGUUGUACACUUUUUCCACAAGUAGGGUACCGUAGCACGAUCACCUUAGUGCCGGUGCGGAUCCUAGCAAAGCCAUUAGCCACCUUAUCCAAAACUGACUAGUCAACACGGAAUCUCCUAAGGGGUUAACGACCUAUCCACGAGGCCGGAACUAGGACCUAAGUCACCAAGAGCUUACUCCUUUUCCAUGGGCUCCGUUGCUCACUAGCACACCUGAAGCCUAGCAGUUUAGCUAGUGGGGUUUAUGCUAAGCCGUUGCCCAUACAACGAUCGAGUGGUUGCACGAUGGUUGAAUUAGGCAAGAUGACACAUCAACUCGGUCCUUAACCGUGACAAGAUGGAUAGUCCCAACCUUGCUCAACCACUAAGGUACGAGCCCGACAUUCUGGCAUUUCACACAAGAAACACCCAUCCAUCUCAUCUAUGCACCACCUCUCUUUACACACGAAAAACCAUUUUCUCAGCUGAAAACACUCACACAUUUAUUUUCUGAAUAAACAAGUGUAGUCAUGAUUGAAUUUGAGUAACGAGUUCCUAAGUAUUCUAGCAGUAUUUAUUAUCUAAAUAGAGCAACUCAUAUUUAGAGAUAAAUAUAGGACAACAAGGAAUAAUCAUAACAAUCAAGGGGUGGCUAUCCAACCAUGUCUUGCAAUAAAACGAUAUGCAUUUUAUAAAACAGGCCAAUAGGUUGUGCUUGAAAAAAAUCUAGGAAUUGAAUAUGCAUCAAAGGGUGGGAUUGGACUUACCGUUCUCAAAGCCCUCUAGGAGCUCCUGCUCGCGGUACAGGUCCUCGAGCUCAGGCUCAUGGUCGAACUCCUCCUCGUGCUUCUCCUCGGGUACUCCACGAUCUACAACACACACAAACGAGCACACAAUAAAUAAAAAGGAAAUACGAUUUUACCCGUUGAGCUCCGAACGAAGAAUGUGAACAGAAAAUAGGUAGGAGGGGUAUUUUCAUGAAAUUUGGAUAUGCCUCGGCGGAAAUAUAUGAGAGGAGGCCGUGGUCAAAUUUGGGAUUAAUUGGAGGAAGUUUGGCGUAUGAAAUGACGAGUUAAAUGAGUGUUAGGGCUUAAAACAAGAUUUUAGGACUAAACUGCGAGAACCAUGGACCUAUUUGUAAUUAUUUCUAAAAAGUGGAAGGGUCAUCUGUGAGAAUUCUUUGAGAGAGGUGGAAGGGCCGGUUUGUAAAUAUGAGAAAGGAGAGGGGUAGAUCGAAGAUUGAAGGGGGCUUUUCUCCUUCUUCUUCCUGGGCCGGUACAGGGGAAUGGGAGAAGAGGGAACCGGUAGAGGGGCCGGUCCGGCCGGACCUCACCGGCGGCGGGCCGAGUGGGGGAGAGGUAGAGGGGAGCAAGGGGAACCCAUUUGAGGGGUCACCUCGGGCGAUUUGUUGCCGGAACAAGGGGGCCGGCGGUGGGUAAGGAGGCGGUGGGUGGAGCUCCUGGCGGCGGUGGCGGUUGGCAUAGGGAGGCAGGAGGUGGAGGGUCGGGUGAGGUCGUGGUGCGGGAGGAGGAGGCCGGCCUCAGGUGGCUUUUAUAGCCGGUGGGAGGGCAACGGCGCACGAGGCGGUCGGGCUGGCGACUUGAUGGCGGCUGAACUUUUCCGGCCAGUGGCGUGCCAGAGUGGAC
rnacentral:lncRNA from 1 species